rnacentral:rRNA from 1 species
UGUGAGCUCGAUGAGUAGGGCGGGACACGUGGUAUCCUGUCUGAAUAUGGGGGGACCAUCCUCCAAGGCUAAAUACUCCUGACUGACCGAUAGUGAACCAGUACCGUGAGGGAAAGGCGAAAAGAACCCCGGCGAGGGGAGUGAAAAAGAACCUGAAACCGUGUACGUACAAGCAGUGGGAGCACGCUUCGGCGUGUGACUGCGUACCUUUUGUAUAAUGGGUCAGCGACUUAUAUUCUGUAGCAAGGUUAACCGAAUAGGGGAGCCGAAGGGAAACCGAGUCUUAACUGGGCGUUAAGUUGCAGGGUAUAGACCCGAAACCCGGUGAUCUAGCCAUGGGCAGGUUGAAGGUUGGGUAACACUAACUGGAGGACCGAACCGACUAAUGUUGAAAAAUUAGCGGAUGACUUGUGGCUGGGGGUGAAAGGCCAAUCAAACCGGGAGAUAGCUGGUUCUCCCCGAAAGCUAUUUAGGUAGCGCCUCGUGAAUUCAUCUCCGGGGGUAGAGCACUGUUUCGGCAAGGGGGUCAUCCCGACUUACCAACCCGAUGCAAACUGCGAAUACCGGAGAAUGUUAUCACGGGAGACACACGGCGGGUGCUAACGUCCGUCGUGAAGAGGGAAACAACCCAGACCGCCAGCUAAGGUCCCAAAGUCAUGGUUAAGUGGGAAACGAUGUGGGAAGGCCCAGACAGCCAGGAUGUUGGCUUAGAAGCAGCCAUCAUUUAAAGAAAGCGUAAUAGCUCACUGGUCGAGUCGGCCUGCGCGGAAGAUGUAACGGGGCUAAACCAUGCACCGAAGCUGCGGCAGCGACGCUGAUGCGUUGUUGGGUAGGGGAGCGUUCUGUAAGCCUGCGAAGGUGUGCUGUGAGGCAUGCUGGAGGUAUCAGAAGUGCGAAUGCUGACAUAAGUAACGAUAAAGCGGGUGAAAAGCCCGCUCGCCGGAAGACCAAGGGUUCCUGUCCAACGUUAAUCGGGGCAGGGUGAGUCGACCCCUAAGGCGAGGCCGAAAGGCGUAGUCGAUGGGAAACAGGUUAAUAUUCCUGUACUUGGUGUUACUGCGAAGGGGGGACGGAGAAGGCUAUGUUGGCCGGGCGACGGUUGUCCCGGUUUAAGCGUGUAGGCUGGUUUUCCAGGCAAAUCCGGAAAAUCAAGGCUGAGGCGUGAUGACGAGGCACUACGGUGCUGAAGCAACAAAUGCCCUGCUUCCAGGAAAAGCCUCUAAGCAUCAGGUAACAUCAAAUCGUACCCCAAACCGACACAGGUGGUCAGGUAGAGAAUACCAAGGCGCUUGAGAGAACUCGGGUGAAGGAACUAGGCAAAAUGGUGCCGUAACUUCGGGAGAAGGCACGCUGAUAUGUAGGUGAAGUCCCUCGCGGAUGGAGCUGAAAUCAGUCGAAGAUACCAGCUGGCUGCAACUGUUUAUUAAAAACACAGCACUGUGCAAACACGAAAGUGGACGUAUACGGUGUGACGCCUGCCCGGUGCCGGAAGGUUAAUUGAUGGGGUUAGCCGCAAGGCGAAGCUCUUGAUCGAAGCCCCGGUAAACGGCGGCCGUAACUAUAACGGUCCUAAGGUAGCGAAAUUCCUUGUCGGGUAAGUUCCGACCUGCACGAAUGGCGUAAUGAUGGCCAGGCUGUCUCCACCCGAGACUCAGUGAAAUUGAACUCGCUGUGAAGAUGCAGUGUACCCGCGGCAAGACGGAAAGACCCCGUGAACCUUUACUAUAGCUUGACACUGAACAUUGAGCCUUGAUGUGUAGGAUAGGUGGGAGGCUUUGAAGUGUGGACGCCAGUCUGCAUGGAGCCGACCUUGAAAUACCACCCUUUAAUGUUUGAUGUUCUAACGUUGACCCGUAAUCCGGGUUGCGGACAGUGUCUGGUGGGUAGUUUGACUGGGGCGGUCUCCUCCUAAAGAGUAACGGAGGAGCACGAAGGUUGGCUAAUCCUGGUCGGACAUCAGGAGGUUAGUGCAAUGGCAUAAGCCAGCUUGACUGCGAGCGUGACGGCGCGAGCAGGUGCGAAAGCAGGUCAUAGUGAUCCGGUGGUUCUGAAUGGAAGGGCCAUCGCUCAACGGAUAAAAGGUACUCCGGGGAUAACAGGCUGAUACCGCCCAAGAGUUCAUAUCGACGGCGGUGUUUGGCACCUCGAUGUCGGCUCAUCACAUCCUGGGGCUGAAGUAGGUCCCAAGGGUAUGGCUGUUCGCCAUUUAAAGUGGUACGCGAGCUGGGUUUAGAACGUCGUGAGACAGUUCGGUCCCUAUCUGCCGUGGGCGCUGGAGAACUGAGGGGGGCUGCUCCUAGUACGAGAGGACCGGAGUGGACGCAUCACUGGUGUUCGGGUUGUCAUGCCAAUGGCACUGCCCGGUAGCUAAAUGCGGAAGAGAUAAGUGCUGAAAGCAUCUAAGCACGAAACUUGCCCCGAGAUGAGUUCUCCCUGACCCUUUAAGGGUCCUGAAGGAACGUUGAAGACGACGACGUUGAUAGGCCGGGUGUGUAAGCGCAGCGAUGCGUUGAGCUAACCGGUACUAAUGAACCGUGAGGCUUAACCUU